rnacentral:rRNA from 1 species
UACGAAGGGGGGCUAGCGUUGCUCGGAAUCACUGGGCGUAAAGGGUGCGUAGGCGGGUCUUUAAGUCAGGGGUGAAAUCCUGGAGCUCAACUCCAGAACUGCCCUUUGAUACUGAGGAUCUUGAGUUCGGGAGAGGUGAGUGGAACUGCGAGUGUAGAGGUGAAAUUCGUAGAUAUCGGGAGGAACACCGGUGGCGAAGGCGGCUCUCUGGACCGAGACUGACGCUGAGGCGCGAAAGCGUGGGGAGCAAACAGG